ACAUCAGGUCAGGCAGGGACACUCGCAGAGUUUAAGCAUAUCAAUAAGUAGAGGAGAAGGAACUUACGAGGAUUCCCCUAGUAAUAGCGGGCGAAUUGGGAUGAGCCCAUUAUGAAAAUUGGGCUAACUAAUAGCCUAAAUUAUUGUCUGAAGAGGCGACCUCAGUGAUGGAAUGGGCCCAAGUCCUCUGGAAAGGGGCGCUAGGGAGGGUGAGAGCCCCGUGCGGCCCACACCCUGCUACAAUGCGAGGCACUGUCAUCGAGUCAAGUUGUUUGGGAAUGCAGCCCAAAUCGGGCGGUAAGUUCUGUCCAAGGCUAAAUACUGGCGAGAGACCGAUAGCAAACAAGUACUGCGAGGGAAAGAUGAAAAGGACUUUGAAAAGAGAGUCAAAGAGUGCUUGAAAUUGUCAGGAGGGAAGCAGGUGGGGGUUGGCGAUGCGCCUCGGCCUGAUGCGGAACAGCGGCGCCCUGGUCCGCCGCUUGGCUCGAGGCAUUGGCCAUUGUCGGCCGAGUGUACCGGAGCGUGCGCUUUCCCGUGAGCCUUCCGGGACUCCGUCAUGCUCUCCCUACUGGCUCGCAAGCUCCCCAUCUGACUAGUCUUAAAACACGGACCAAGGAGUUUGACAUGCGUGCGAGCCGACGGGUGCGAAAGCCCGGAAGGCGCAAGGAAGCUAAUGCAUGGGAUCCCUAUUCGGGGAGCACCACGGACUGACCCCGAUCUUAUGUGAAGGGUUCGAGUGGGAGCAUGUCUAUCGGGACCCGAAAUAUGGUGAACUAUGCUUGAGCGGGGCGAAGCUCGAGGAAACUCUGGUGGAGGCUCACAGCGAUACUAAUGUGCAAAUCGUUCGUCCGACUUGGGCAUAGGGGCGAAAGACUAAUCGAACCAUCUAGUAGCUGGUUCCCUCUGAAGUUUCCCUCAGGAUAGCUGGAGCCCAUUCGGAGUUCUAUCGGGUAAAGCCAAUGAUUAGAGGCAUCGGGGGCACAACACCCUCGACCUAUUCUCAAACUUUAAAUAGGUAGGAUGGGGUGGCUGCUUUGAUGAGCCACUCCUUGGAAUCGGGAGCUCUAAGUGGGCCAUUUCUGGUAAGCAGAACUGGCGAUGCGGGAUGAACCGGAAGCCAAGUUACGGUGCCCAACUGUGCGCUAACCCAGAACCCACAAAGCGUGUUGGUCAAUUAAGACAGCAGGACGGUGGUCAUAGAAGUUGAAAUCCACUACGGAGUGUGUAACAACUCACCUGCCGAAUCAACUAGCCCUGAAAAUGGAUGGCGCUUAAACGCGCGACCCAUACCCGGACAUCGGGGCUAUCGUCAUGGCCCUAUGAGUAGGAGGGCGCGACGGCUGCCAUAAAACCCGAGCGCAAGCCCAUGUGGAGCUGCUGCCGAUGCGGAUCUUGGUUGUAGUAGCAAAUAUUCAAAUGAGAACUUUGAAGGCCGAAAGGGGGAAAGGAUCCAUGUGAACGGCACUUGCACAUGGGUUAGCCAAUCCUAAGAGACGGGGGAGACCAGUCUGAGAGUGCCGCGUGGUGCGAGCUUCGAAAGGGAAUCAGAUUAAAAUUCCUGAGCCUGGAUGUGGCGGCGGACAACAAUGUGAGGCGGUCCGGAGACGCCGGUGGGGGCCUUAGGAAGAGUUAUCUUUUCUGCUUAACAGCUUGCCAGCCCUAAAAAUGGCUCAGCCAGAGGUAGGGUCCAGCGGCCAGAAGAGCGUCUCACAUCGAGCGGCAUCCGGUGCGCCCCCGGCGGCCCGUGAAAAUCCUGAUGGCUAAGUGUCGCCCACACCUGGUCGUACUCAUAACCGCAUUAGGUCUCCAAGGUGAACAGCCUCUGGUCGAUGGAGCAAUGUUGGCAAGGGAAGUCGACAAAAUGGAUCCGUAACUUCGGGAAAAGGAUUGGCUCUGAGGGUUGGGCACGGGGGUCCCAGUUUCGAACCUAUCGACUGUCAGUGAACUGCUUGAGCUGCUGUCGUGGCGAGAGUGGGUCGUCGCGUGCUUGCUGGGGGACGGAAUGGGAAUGUUCCCCUCGAAGGACUUCCCCGGGCAUCGAACAACUGACUCAGAACUGGUACGGACAAGGGGAAUCCGACUAUUUAAUUAAAAAAAAGCAUUGCGAUGGUCCCAGCGGAUGCACACACAAUGUGAUUUCUGCCCAGUGCUCUGAAUGUCAAAGUGAAGAGAUUUAACCAAGCGCAGGUAAACGACGGGAGUAACUAUGACUCUCUUAAUGUAGCCAAAUACCUUGUCAUCUAAUUAGUGAUGAGCAUGAAUAGAUUAACAAGAUUUCCACUGUCCCUGUCUACUAUCCAGCGAAACCAUAGCCAACAGAACAGGCUUGGCAGAAUCGGUGGGGAAAAAAGACCCUGUUGAGCUUUACUCUAGUCCGACUUUGUGAAAUAACUUGAGAGGUGUAGGAUAAGUGGGAGCCGGUCCUGCUGGCGGUGUCCUUUGGCUGUCCGGUGAAGGUCCGCAAUAGUGAUGACAGAGUCGCUCUUUGUCCAAAUUCCGUCUGUCGUAUCCCUCUUGGGCUGCUGUCAUCGCAAUAAGGGCUCCCGUAUCUUCUGCUGUAGGAGUGGCAUAAGUGUAGAGCUUGGAGCCAGUCGCUAGCAGGAGGUUGCCGCAGUGAUCCCGCACAACCCCCCCCUCCCACGCCUGACGUACCAUUCUGUUUAAUGGAGCCAUCAAAGUUCACCUUAAUACAUCGUGGGGGUAGAGGAUCCGAAUGGGAUGCAGAGGGGUAAAAAUAGCCUUUGAGGCUGUUGGGAUCCCAGUUCCCCAUGUUGGAUGAAGGUUAUUCUUGGGCCUUAAUAAAAUGAACAAGUGCAGCGAUUACUCUAGGCAACGGGAAAGGUUUGUUGUGGACUCGACCAUUGCGAGCUCUCCAAGAGUGGUAGAAAGCAAUCACCACUCGGAUAGCCUGAGGAUCAUUUGAAUUUUUUUGAACUCGUGACUGCAGGUUG
rnacentral:rRNA from 1 species